rnacentral:rRNA from 1 species
AGUGAACGCUGGCGGUAGGCCUAACACAUGCAAGUCGAACGGCAGCACAGUAAGAGCUUGCUCUUACGGGUGGCGAGUGGCGGACGGGUGAGGAAUACAUCGGAAUCUACUUUUUCGUGGGGGAUAACGUAGGGAAACUGACGCUAAUACCGCAUACGACCUACGGGUGAAAGCAGGGGAUCUUCGGACCUUGCGCGAUUGAAUGAGCCGAUGUCGGAUUAGCUAGUUGGCGGGGUAAAGGCCCACCAAGGCGACGAUCCGUAGCUGGUCUGAGAGGAUGAUCAGCCACACUGGAACUGAGACACGGUCCAGACUCCUACGGGAGGCAGCAGUGGGGAAUAUUGGACAAUGGGCGCAAGCCUGAUCCAGCCAUACCGCGUGGGUGAAGAAGGCCUUCGGGUUGUAAAGCCCUUUUGUUGGGAAAGAAAAGCAGCAGGUUAAUACCCCGCUGUUCUGACGGUACCCAAAGAAUAAGCAACGGCUAACUUCGUG